rnacentral:misc_RNA from 1 species
GAAUGAUGUAGUGGGAAUUAUGACCCAGGUGGUGUAAGGCCAAGCCGUAGGCCAAUGGAUGUAUGAUUGAGGCAAUAAUAAGAUGGUAUGGUUUGGCAAGUAGUUUCAUAAAUAUGGAAUAGCUUAAGGGGUUGUGUGUGAUGGCUUAAAUAUUAUGUCUCCACUUGCUAGAGGAUGAAAUUUCCUUAUAAUAUAUUAUAGGGGAAAGCAUGG